AGCGGGCGGGCAUUUUACCCUCUCACACGAUCACAAGAAGGAUAAAGAGAGUCAAAUGACCAGACUUCUGCAGGAGUAACAUGUGAAACAAAGCAUUUGGAGAGUGAGUGCAUCAGGGGACCUCUAAAGGCAGCCAAUAUUAGUACUGAUGGGGCACUUACCCAGAUAAUACUUUAUGUUCCAAAAUAAAACAACUGAGCACUCCUUGUUAUCCAGUAUCAAGGGUGGAAACUUUUAUCCAAUUGCUCCUCUUCUGGAUGUCCAGCAUCAACAACAGUGUUUGGCCCACAGAAGGUACUCAGGAAUAUUACUGAAUAAAUGCAGGUCCAGUACACAGAGACAGGACUAGAGUAAGGAGCCAUGUUUAGUGGGUGAAGAGAGAAAGAAAUGGCCACUUCCACUCCUUGAAGUCUACCAUUGCUUGGACCGUGAAAAGAUCCAUUGACUCACAGAAAGAGUUCUGCGUAUUACAUGGGACUCAGCUCAUUAUCAAAUGAAAACUGUUUUGUGACAUAAAGUGACCCAGGACAGCCUGUUUCCUAAGAGUGGGCAGAAAAGUCAUAGAACAGGCUG